rnacentral:lncRNA from 1 species
UCAACUGUAAAUCAGUUUUACCUCCCCACUGGUCUUUUACAAUCGAUCGUCUACCCAUACAGACAUUUUUUACUACCCAAGUUAUACGUAAUUUUCGCAUACAGACAGAUAAAUUUUGGUGCCGAACUGUAAAUUCAGCAUUUGGGUAUGCGUUUUGGCUAAACGUACCCAAAGUGGUAAAAUUAUCUAUCUGCAUCACCGAUAAAAUAAUGUGUGCGACGCGCAUACCGACUGAAAUUCGGCAAAACUUAGGCGUUCGCGAACGAUCUUUUCGGUAGAUAAAUUAAAUGGAUGUGAUUUUCGUUACGAAAUUUACAGCAGUUGUAUUCUGGCAACAUAAUAAUUCAGAUUCAAGUUUAGUUUCAAGUGAGAAUGUGAAAAAUUUUCUGUGACCACCCAAGUUAUGCUGAGUUUUGCGUAGUCUGAGAUGGCGCUUCCAUCGCAGACGGGAGAUACGCAAGAAGCGUUUAGACACGCUUCCGCGUUGUGUGUGCGGUUAAGUAGGUGGAGUGGAUCAAGUGGAAUUUUUUGCAUUUUUCAUCAGAGAAUAAAGGUUCGUGGGCAAGAAUACGGAUCCAUCUGGCGAAAUGAGUUUUGCGAUUGUCUCAUCGGACCGCACCCUCUGAUUGAGUGAAAUCAUUUUACUAUGAUUUAUUGAAGGACCUUAGUUGCCAUGCUAUGCCGACAAUGAUUCGUAAUCUUGCACGUUGCACUUCCUUUGAACCGUUCCAGCUUACUGCGCUGACCAUUGACUCUUAUCUUUCAAACCACGCCUUCGUUUAAGCCAAAUAUCCAUGAUUUUCUGAAAGCUUCUGUUUCGAUCAGACUUAAGCUAACUAUGCUAAGCCACAACUCAUCUUCUGCUUGAAUGACUCACAAGCACGUACCAUCUCUCCGGCUCAUCAAUUUGAACAGGACUUUUAUGAGGUAAUCUCCCAGGCUACAACUUGCAGUCAGUUAUACCAUAUACAUUAUAAUGGGCCUUGGUACUCCCAGCGAGCCUCAAGUUAUAGUAUUAUGAAGCGGCAGAUGAAUGAACAUUUGGCAGGGGCGACAAUACUUUAUACUCCUUUUUGGGAUUGAGUCUGUCAUUAUAUUCUGCUAUUAUGGUAUCACAUAAUUGAAAUAAGAGUGAGCAUGCUAAAAAA